GUGCCAGCCGCCACGGUAAUACGUAGGUGGCAAGCGUUAUCCGGAAUUAUUGGGCGUAAAGCGCGCGUAGGCGGUUUUUUAAGUCUGAUGUGAAAGCCCACGGCUCAACCUGUGGAGGGUCAUUGUAAACUGGAAAACUUGACUGCAGAAGAGGGAAGUGGAAUUCCAUGUGUACCCGGUGAAAGUGCGCAGAGAUAUGCGAGGAACACCAAUGGCGAAGGCGACUUUCUGGUCUCGUAACUGACGCUGAUGUGCGAAAGCGUGGGGAUC
rnacentral:rRNA from 1 species